GGGCUCCAGUGCACUGCCUCUCAUGAUCUUGCUGAUGUCCUUCAUCCACGCUGGACUCACUCAAGAUUCAUCUUCACUGACUGUGACUCCAGACAGUACAGUAUUCACUGGAGAGACAGUCAAUCUGAAGUGUGUGAUUGAGACUUACAGUAACUGGAGAUAUGAGUGGUAUAAA